GUUCUCAUUUCCUUUGUGAUGAGCAGAACUUUGUUUUGCUCAUCACAAAGUAACUAAUGUAACAUUUUAAAGAGGUACUUGUUACUUUUGAUGUUAGUAACUUGUAUUUAAGCGCAAAUUUAAAUAAAAAAUAACAGCAGUUUUACUUGAGUAGCCUAAUUUUUUUGUACUCUUUCCACCUCUGCUGUCAUGUUCAAAUAUUGAUAAACAAUUUCAUCUUUUAGCAUCUUCAGUAAAUUUUUAUCUUUGGCAUCACUGACAUUUCUUUUGAAAAAGAUUUGUUAAUGUUUUCUGUACAUUUAUCAAAAUUUGAUUUUGCUUGAAUUAAAAAUUCACCGUCCUGCAGUGUUUUCCGGGUUAUUAUUUUAAUGUCUAUGAAUGAUAAGCAAUUUAUUGUUUGUCCUGUCCCAGUGCAAUGCUUACAGCAACAGAUCGAAAGCGAUGAGAAAACAAGCUGCCCUUGAUAAACCCCUGAAUUCACAGGGGCGGCUUAGAAGAAUCUGCCAGUUUGACGGCCGAAACUAUGAGGCCGAUGUCGACUUUACCUCUGGAUGUGCUGUUUGCACUACCAUGAAGUCAACCGAUGCCCUGGCAGAGAGGAGGAUCUCCAGAUCUGAGGAGUGGGUCUACUUCAAGAUCUAGUCAUCAGGCUCAAGUGAGAACAGAGAAGCAGCUUGUCUUCACUCCGGACCAAGAUUCGGCAGCAUGAGAUGUAAAGGGCUGACAAACUGAAGUACAAACUGUGAGAUACAGCUGAGACAGAUGUUGUAUUUGGAACAGCAUACUAUAUUGCCAAGAUGAAUAGACAUUUUACUGAUCUUGAUCAUCUCACUGACGUUCCAGAGAAAUUGUUGUCAACGUGGGCACUGGUCUCCACUCAACAAAAAGCUCCACAGAAAUUGUGGAACAUACUGUAAAAGAAAUGCAGACAAAAAUUGUUUGUUAUAAAUUGUACCACGUCUUUAAUAUAAAGCCACCUAUUGUACAAAGUUUGUGUUACAAUCAAAUACAAGUAUCAGAAAUGUUGCAUUAUUAAAUAUGGUUAAAAAUCUAAAUAAAGUGCUUAUUACCUUGCA